rnacentral:rRNA from 1 species
UGUUGUGGUUAAAAAGCUCGUAGUUGGAUCUCGGCGGACUGAGGGCGGUUUGCUUGCUAGUAUUACUGCCCUAUAGUCCGUAGUUUUGCCAGAGGUUUCGGGGUGCUCUUAAUCGAGUGUCCCGGGAUGCUGGCAGGUUUACUUUGAAAAAAUUAGAGUGCUCAAAGCAGGCUAUUACGCCUGAAUAUUCGUGCAUGGAAUAAUAGAAUAGGAAGUCGUUUCUAUUUUGUUGGUUUUCGGAAAUCGACUUAAUGAUUAAUAGGGACAGUCGGGGGCAUUUGUAUUCAAACGACAGAGGUGAAAUUCUUGGACCGUUUGAAGACAAACUACUGCGAAAGCAUUUGCCAAGAAUGUUUUCAUUAAUCAAGAACGAAAGUUAAAGGUUCGAAGGCGAUUAGAUACCGCCCUAGUUUUAACCAUAAACGAUGCCAGCUAGCGAUCUGCGGGCGUUUUUUUUGUAGACUCCGCAGGAAGCUUCCGGGAAACCAAAGCAUUUGGGUUCCAGGGGAAGUAUGGUUGCAAAGCUGAAACUUAAAGGAAUUGACGGAAGGGCACCACCAGGAGUGGAGCCUGUGGCUUAAUUUGACUCAACACGGGAAAUCUCACCAGGCCCGGACACUG